rnacentral:rRNA from 1 species
UACGGAAGGGGCUAGCGUUGUUCGGAAUUAAUGGGCGUAAAGAGCGCGUAGGCGGCUUACCAAGUUGGGGGUGAAAUCCCGGAGCUCAACUCCGGAACUGCCUUCAAAACUGGUAGGCUCGAGUCCGGAAGGGGGGCGUGGAAUUCCCAGUGUAGAGGUGAAAUUCGUAGAUAUUGGGAAGAACACCGGUGGCGAAGGCGGCGCUCUGGUCCGGUACUGACGCUGAGGCGCGAAAGCGUGGGGAGCAAACAGG